GGGUGGGGUAGGCCGCAGGAGGCAAGCCUGGACUCUGCACCCACAGGUGUGUCUGGCCUGAGUCCCGGCCCAGGCCCUCGGCCCUCUUCCGCCGGCCCAUGGAAGGGGCCCCGCUGGCAUCGCCUGGAGAAGAACUAGAGCUCUCGCCGCUGCAGGGGCCGCCGGACGAGCAGGUGCCUCUCAAUGGGGCGGUGCAGGUCAUCACGUCUUCUGCCGAGGAGCCCGUCUCCGCCCAGGCUAACAAGGAAGGCCCCUGGAGUGCCUGUAAUAAGAAUCUGUUUGGAAAGUGUAAGCUGUGGAUGGUCAUCACCUCCAUUUUCCUAGGUCUCAUUCUAGUGAUCGUCAUAAGCUUAAGUCUCAUUGGAGUAACUUAUAUUGAUGAAGAUGAAAAUGAAAUACUUGAAUUAUCGUCCAAUAAAACAUUCUUGGUCAUGUUGAAGAUUCCAGAGGAGUGUGUUACUGAAGAGGGCUUACUUCAUCUGCUCACUAAAAGGCUCACGGAUGUGUACAGUGCCUCGCCGUCUCUGAGUCGCUAUUUUACUGCUGUGGAAGUAGUGGACUUCAGUGGUGAAAAUGCCACCGUCACCUACUACCUGCAAUUUGGGAUUCCUUCAGGAGACGACAACUUUCUGAAGUACAUGAUGAGUGAGGAACUGGUGCUGAGCAUUCUGCUGCAGGAUUUCCAUGAUCAGCAUGUCCCUGGUUGUGAGCGUCUGGGGCUCGAUCCAGAAGCCCUUACCAUAUGACAGUGUGACUGGAAAAAAAAAUUCAUGGAAAAAAUAAGUAAACUCUCAAGAUGAAGAUUGCUCAAAGUUUCCUUGUUGCAGUUCACCCACGGCCUAAGCCCUGUACCCUACUGCAAAACGUCAUUACAACCUUCAUGAAACACCGUGGUUUCACAAGAGAAGUAAAUAUCGAAGAAUUCAACAUAAAAAGGACAGCGAUGUUGUUGAAAGACUAUCUCAAUACAAAGGAUCUAUUCCUUUUUUUGGUUGAAGGCCACUGAGUUCCUCAAGAAAUUCAGUUGGAAUGAAGCAGUGAAGGUCAGUUUGCCUUUGACAGCAGUGGUCCACUGAGUUUUGGAGAUAGAGUUUAUUCUGUUUUGUAGAAAAGAUCUGUGGCUUAGCAUGGAAGUAUCUAGCCAUGACCAAAGGAGUGGAGACUGCACUUUCUCGCCUGAUUCUGCACAGGGGUGAAGUCUGACUGCACAUCCUGCGAAACAGCUCUGGAGCUCUGCCCCAGCUGGGUCCUGUCUUGAAAAAGAUGGGAAACCAGAUGGGGCUUGGGUGAUGUGGUGGACGGUGGACCCCACAGUGUGAGGUCACUUCUUUUUUCUUUCUUUCUUUCUUUCCUUUUUAUCCCCCUAAUUGUCAGGGAAGUGUGUACUCACCAGAGACAGAAAGAGAGAAGAAGACAUGUAUACACAUGUAUCUGAUGUGUUCUUUAAGCUGCCGGGGCUGGGGUUCAAACAAAGGCCAGCCAUAUGGGGUAUGGCAUCCAAUGCACUGUACUUAGCUACUGCACUACACGGCCAUCCCUGCUCUGCUUUUCUUGAAUCACUUGUGCCUCCACUUACAGAUGGAUAUUUUCUCUGAGUGCAAGGGUGUGCACUGCUUCCUUUUAGGGAGAAUUCCAUCAGGCUGUGCUGGUCGAACAAGGAGAGGCAGGAGGCCAGGUGAGGGAGCACUGAGCCAGUCUAUGUCUAAGCCGGGCUGAGGAUGAGGAGGGCACUUUACAGGACUUCAGCAGCACAGCUUCGUGUCUGCUCCCAUGACCGGUGCCUGGGCAGCUUAGCAGGCCAGCCUUAGGCAUAUCAACCAAUGUUAUUGUGUUAUAUUCUUAUCUAUCUGCCUACCUCUAUCUAUCUAUCUAUGCAGAAAUAAGAUUUGUGUCUUCUACUUAUU